CAGAAGGAGCAAGGUACCAAGGGAGAAGAAAGGCUCUGAGUUGUGUUCUCAGAGUGCCUCUUUGGACAGACGUGUUAAAGCAUGCUCAUGACUCUUUCAGAGUGGAGGGAGGACUGUGGACACAGCUUCAUCGUAGGGAGGGAAGAGAUGAGUUCUGCUGGAGAGCUGAAGCAAUCAGAGAUAUGAGACGGCUGGCUGCUUUCAGACUGUGGCGCCUGCAGAAGGAGCUGCUGAGCAAAGAGGAAGCCAGGCUUUUGGAAGCCCAUGCUCUGCUGGAACAGAAGCAGCUACGAAACAUUUUCUGGAGGUGGCGUUCCAGAUGCUUGGAAAUGAAAGAGAUUUUGGCACUGACAACUCAGAUCCAGAGAAACUUGCUCUCCCGGUAUUUCAGUGCAUGGAAGGAGACUGCUAAGCAGAAGGCACUUUACAGGUGCAACCUGGCCCAUCUCAGAGCAGUAUCACUGAG